AUUGAACGCUGGCGGCAGGCCUAACACAUGCAAGUCGAGCGGAGCGGCGGAAGGGGGAGUAAGGCCAAGGAAUCUGCCUGGUAGUGAGGGAUAAAGUCAGGAAAAGGGCGCUAAUACCGCAUACUAUCAGAUGAGAGUAGGUGGGAUUAGCUAGUUGGUGGGGUAAAGGCAUACCAAGGAGACGAGCUGUAAAUGGUCUGAGAGGAGGAUCAGUCACACUGGAACUGAGAAACGUGCCAGACGCCUACGUGAGGCAGCAGUGGGGAAUAUUGGACAAGGGGCGAAAGCCUGAUCCAGCCAUGCCGCGUGUAUGAAGAAGGUCUUCGGAUUGUAAAGCACUUUAAGUUGGGAGGCGUUACCAACAGAAUAAGCACCGGCUAACUCCGUGCCAGCCGCCGCGGUAAUAC
rnacentral:rRNA from 1 species